UACGGGGGGAGCAAGCGUUGUUCGGAUUUACUGGGCGUAAAGAGCGCGUAGGCGGCCACCGCAAGUCGACUGUGAAAUCUCCGGGCUUAACCCGGAAAGGUCAGCCGAUACUGCGGGGCUAGAGUGCAGAAGGGGCAACUGGAAUUCUCGGUGUAGCGGUGAAAUGCGUAGAUAUCGAGAGGAACACCUGCGGCGAAGGCGGGUUGCUGGGCUGACACUGACGCUGAUGUGCGAAAGCUAGGGGAGCGAACGGG
rnacentral:rRNA from 1 species